rnacentral:lncRNA from 1 species
CCAGGAUGAAGUGCGGUGGCAGGACCAUAGCUCACUGCAGCCUCAAUCAACUCCCGGAGCUCAAGCAAUCCUCCCACCUCAGCCUCCCAAGUAGCUGGGACCACAGGAUGAAGGCUUCCUAUGUUGCCCAGGCUGGUCUCAAACGUCUGGCCUCCCGUCCUUAUGCGCCAGGACAACAGGACUGAGCCACCGCACCAUCCAAGUCUCUUGCUUUUUAAUAGCUUUCUUAUUUUUCUUUUAUUCAUCCAGGGGUUACUUUGUGAAUUUAAAUAAUUCACUUAAAAUAACAUUUUGAAAUUUAUCAACUUUAUCUACUGUUGUAUGAGAUAUGAGGAACUUAGCAAAUGGACUCAUUCUUCAUUUUCUUCUUCCUCUCUCUCCUGAUUUUUCCAAGUUAUGUUAUUAUUUUUAAAUUUCCAAAGCUUGUGUCAUUUAGAUUGUUCUAUAAAUAUAAUUAAGCAAUCA